AUGGCCGGCGAAGAGGGUCCCGAGCAGAAGGCAGUGACGGACGAGGAGACUUCCUCCAACCCCACACAGCUGACCUCGGCCACCGACGGGAUGCGCACGCCGGAGCGAUGCACCACCGAGCCUCAGGCGGAGGCUCAGAUCGAGGAGCCGGUUUCCGAGCCUCAGGCCGAGGCCGAUGAUCAGGAAGGUUACGACGACCACGACGAUGCCGAUCAUGAUUACGAAGACGACGCUGACUACGACGGCUACGACGAUGAGGACGAUUACGAGUAUGGGUCUGAGUCUGACUACGACUCUGAGGAUGAUUACGACUGGGAGUCUGAAUUCGCGAGGCACCGCCCGGCGCUCAGGGCGGCGCUGCUAAGCUUCCCCGAGGCCGCCAACUUGAGUCCUACAGAGCUGGACGCCGCGGUGGAGAGGGCCCUCGAGCAGGCCAAGCCCGAGUACAGGGACGUGGCCUCCCCAGGCAAGAUUCGGCUGUCGAAACACGACAUAGAGGUUAUCUUGGCCCCGUUGCCCCCAAUCACCCUCGACCUCGCUUACGAGGGCACGUCGUUAUACCCGGCUGAUCUGAUCCGCAGAAGGGAGGAGCUGGACAAGGAAUCGCUGGCGAUGCGCGAGAAGUUUCGGGACGAGCGGGAAGAGUUUCAGGCCAAGGUCCGCAAGGAUCUGAUCGAGAAGGGCUACGCGGAGGUCGACGAAGACUGUUAUGACAAUAGGGAUGAACUCACGGAAAAGAUGCAGGAGGAGUGGAACAAGAUUGACUUCAGCCGCUUCUACAUCACCAGCAGCGCUGACGGGAUCGCCCGUUACUCCGAAGAACUUGGGGAUUAUAUAUGA
rnacentral:rRNA from 1 species